ensembl:lncRNA
UAUUUUUGGCAUGUUUUAUUUAUUCUGAGUGAAAGACAAGCCUCCUACUUAUGCGCCUCACAAACACACACACACGUUUCUCAAAAAUAUACAUUCUAAGCAAAUACUGACAUUGAUCAAAUGAACCUCAAUACAGCCAUUUCCCAAGCAGAAAGACAGCCCCCUGCCUUGUACCCUGUGGCCCUGGGAAAGCCCCAUAGCUGCCUGCCACCGUGUUUCAUGGCAGGUAUGUUUUAUGACGUGUAAUGGUGGUUUUUCCAAAAGCAUUUCAGUUUUACAAAAAUUUAAAAUCUGUGUUCAAUAAACAGGCAGUUCGGUUAUGACGGCAGAUAUCCUGCAAAUAACCUCUUUGUAAGCUGCUUUAAUAAAAACAACUAUUAAACAUGACACACUUGUAAAAGCAGCUCCUCUUCCCUCGACUGGUGCACAGUUCGUAAUUCAUUAAAAUGCUGGUUAGAAGGCACGACCCCUUCAUUGUCUCCACAACAUUUAUCUGAAUUUGGUCAAAGAACACUCAGAGUCAGCCAGCAAAUUAACUGCUGACAGUGCUGACUGAUAAUUUACUGCUGGUUCAAAUUUCUACACAUAGUUCAUGAGUGAGGCAAAGUGAUGGGUGCUAGAUGCUGUGUGCUACAUCCCAGUCUUUCCAUGUCCCUGUUCCCCACAAGAAAACAAAGCAAUACUUAAAAAAGAAAUAUAUAUAGCAUUAAAAAAAGUGAAUAUUGACAAGCACUCAGUACUAAGAUAGAGUCCAAAACUGAAUACACGGCUAAUAGCUGCUUGAAAAGUUAGAUAACCUUUGUCCUGUAUAUAAUGAAGCUACUGCCAGCAGUCAGUUAGCUUAGUUUAGCACAAACCCUGGAAACAAGAGAAGGUAAUUUACCUCCACUGUCAACAAUUCUGUUUUAUGUGGUUUAAUGAAUAAUGAAGACACUACUGAGUUAUUCUCUGAGCUUGUUUUCAGUCUACAUGCUAGGCUAACGAGCUGCCAGUUGUAGCUUCUAUUUCAUGUACAAACAAAAGCAUGAUAUUAAUGUCAAAGAAAGCAAGUAAACACAUUUAAAUGUUGAACUAGUGCUUGACUCUUUAGGGUGACAGAAUGUUGAUAAAAAAUAAAAGUGCAUUUGUACAUUAAAAAUAGCGCUUCUUUGCUAACCUUGAAAAUCAAAGUACUGCUAAAGUGAAUCUUUGCUUGGACCUUUUUUAUGUAUUCUUAGUGCAUUCAACAUGAAAAUCUAUUACCUUCACUAAAGGAAAUCAAGAAAUGGGGCUGUGGUGGUGAUAUAUUAUUAUUCUUUUAAAAGAAACAACCUUCUUUGAAUCAUAUUUCUCAACAUACUGCAAUUAUACCACAAAUACAGUCAUAUUUGUUUCUUUGAUUUUUGUCAGAAAGCUUUCAUAUUUGGCUGCUCAGACCUCUCUCUGCAUAUAACUUUUAGUUAUGUAGUCGUAGUUGUGCAGACACGUUUGACAGUGAUGGGAAUCAAGUAACAUUCUGCUGCAGGUAACACUGUCAAUCCACACUGCCUGGUGUACGGUGGCUGCCUGGUGUACGGUGGCUGCCUGCCUGGUGUACGGUGGCUGCCUGGUGUACGGUGGCUGCCUGGUGUACGGUGGCUGCCUGGUGUACGGUGGCUGCCUGGUGUACGGGGACUUGCAACCUAAAACAAGCCAGUUUCAGCACACACUACACACACGUCUUAAAGCACUCUCAGCCUACCUACGUAGAUACAGGCAAACAUUUCCAAACAGACCACAGGAUUAAUUGUAAAAUUAAAAGCACUCUUUCCUUUAUAAUAUGUACAAAGCAUCAAUCAAUGAACAGCAAUUGUCAGGCUCUAUCCAGAUGGUAUUAAUAAAAAGCAUCAUUUUUCUCUCUUUUUUUGUUGUCUUCGUUGGAAGGGUGUGGCAACAGCAGUGUCUGAACACGUCGGUUUCUAUCU